CACUCGCUCCCGAGAGAGAGAGGGAGAGCUCGACUGCGGCAGCGACGGCAAGGCGCGCCCGCACAAGAAGACACGGUGGCGCAUGGCCCAUCGUACAUGCAUGGCGACGCGGCAGCAUCGCUCGCCCGAGUAGCAUGCAAAAGGACUUUGUCCCGCGCGCUCCUCCAUCGAGCGUAGCUCCUGUGACGCGGCAACGCAGUUGUUGGGCAUUUCGCCGGCGGCUGCUGGCGCAAGCUUUUGGCGGCGGCUGCGAUGUCUCAGGCACGGAGGCCAGGCGACGCGCGCGUGCGUGAGCGCGGCAGUGGCGGCUGUUAGCUUCAUUCCGCGCGCCAUCCCGAAGGAUGGCGGCGUCCCGGCCAUGGCGUGCGCGCACGGCAGCGGCCGUGCGGACCCCGAAGGCCGGCGUCAUCAGGUUGACCAUCAGAUGGAGCAGCGGCAAUCAAUCACCAUGUCGAAGCUAGACAGUAGCGGUGUGACCGUCCUCGACAGCUUGAGGUGAGUGUGAGGAAAGCCGUGUGCACAUUACACCUUAUCGCUUCAAGGAGAAUAUCAUUCCACUUCCGUUCUUGGAGAUGCAAGAUGAUUAUGUGAUGCCAGAAGCAGAAGAUGAUGAUGAGAUCCAUUAUUGCAUCUGGCCAUAUCCAUAGAACACAUUUAUGUAAUAUCCUGAGAUCCUGGUCCAGGUUUGUUGUGCCCUUGCAGUACUUAUGCUAUGCUAUCUAGUAGGUUCCGUAUAACUGGGCAUUUGGACUGGUAACGGUAGCAUCUUUGCUAUAAGCUAUGUACACAUGAUAAAUGUCGUGAACUAUUGAUAGUCUAUUCUAUAGAAAUGUGCACUUGAUUCAUUC